CCACGAUAAUCAGUGCCUUAUUAUUCUCUUAUAUCAUUUCAAAUUUCAACAUAUCACGGCCAACCCUAGUCUAAAUGUUGGGCAGCCCACAAAUACAAUCUUACAAAUUUCAUGUUCCAUAUGUUCAAACCUAGGCAUGAGGGAAGUGUUUUAAGUCUCACAUAAGUGGGGUAUUAGAGAAAAAUGCUUCAUAUAUAACUUAGGCAAUCCUCCUCCCACGAUAAUCAGUGCCUUAUUAUUCUCUUAUAUCAUUUCAAAUUUCAACAUAUCACGGCCAACCCUAGUCUAAAUGUUGGGCAGCCCACAAAUACAAUCUUACAAAUUUCAUGUUCCAUAUGUUCAAACCUAGGCAUGAGGGAAGUGUUUUAAGUCUCACAUAAGUGGGGUAUUAGAGAAAAAUGCUUCAUAUAUAACUUAGGCAAUCCUCCUCCCAUAUGGUGCCUUUUGGAAAGGAAUUAGGUUUGGUCAAUUUUAUCAAUAGAUUUGUUUCAAAGUAUACACUGAGUAUGCACAACUCUACUAGAUAAAGCUCUAUGACCAUGAGUCAUGAGCAGGCUUCUUAAGUGUUAUUAAAGACAAACUCAAGCUCAAGGCUCCAAUCCUAAUGCCUCCACUAGAAAAACGCAAGCAACCUUUAACAGGCGCUCACCUUAUGCACCUCGGCAUGCGCCUUGUUCUAAGCUCAAGGCUUUAAAGAGGCAUGCUUAUUUAUUUCCACCUCCGCUGAUUACUUCCAUUACCAAAAUAUACUACCACUAAACUUGAAAUUUGU
rnacentral:misc_RNA from 1 species